rnacentral:rRNA from 1 species
UGGGGAAUAUUGCACAAUGGGGGAAACCCUGAUGCAGCGACGCCGCGUGAGCGAAGAAGUAUUUCGGUAUGUAAAGCUCUAUCAGCAGGGAAGAAACUGACGGUACCUGACUAAGAAGCACCGGCUAAAUACGUGCCAGCAGCCGCGGUAAUACGUAUGGUGCAAGCGUUAUCCGGAUUUACUGGGUGUAAAGGGAGCGUAGACGGAGCAGCAAGUCUGGAGUGAAAACCCGGGGCUCAACCCCGGGACUGCUUUGGAAACUGUUGUUCUAGAGUGCUGGAGAGGUAAGUGGAAUUCCUAGUGUAGCGGUGAAAUGCGUAGAUAUUAGGAGGAACACCAGUGGCGAAGGCGGCUUACUGGACAGUAACUGACGUUGAGGCUCGAAAGCGUGGGGAGCAAACA